GGCUCAGGAUGAACGCUGGCGGCGUGCUUAACACAUGCAAGUCGAACGAAGCACUCAUGACAGAUUCUUCGGAUGAUGGAUUGAUUGACUGAGUGGCGGACGGGUGAGUAACGCGUGGGUAACCUGCCUCAUACAGGGGGAUAACAGUUAGAAAUGACUGCUAAUACCGCAUAAGCGCACAGGACCGCAUGGUCUGGUGUGAAAAACUCCGGUGGUAUACGAUGGACCCGCGUCUGAUUAGCUAGUUGGUGAGGUAACGGCCCACCAAGGCGACGAUCAGUAGCCGGCCUGAGAGGGUGAACGGCCACAUUGGGACUGAGACACGGCCCAAACUCCUACGGGAGGCAGCAGUGGGGAAUAUUGGACAAUGGGGGAAACCCUGAUCCAGCGACGCCGCGUGAGUGAAGAAGUAUUUCGGUAUGUAAAGCUCUAUCAGCAGGGAAGAAAAUGACGGUACCUGACUAAGAAGCUCCGGCUAAAUACGUG
rnacentral:rRNA from 1 species